AUUGAACGCUGGCGGCAGGCCUAACACAUGCAAGUCGAGCGAGCGGCGGACGGGUGAGUAAUGUCUGGGAAACUGCCUGAUGGAGGGGGAUAACUACUGGAAACGGUAGCUAAUACCGCAUACCAUCAGAUGUGCCCAGAUGGGAUUAGCUAGUAGGUGGGGUAACGGCUCACCUAGGCGGCGAGCCCUAGCUGGUCUGAGAGGAUGACCCGCCACACUGUAACUGUGACACGGUCCAGACUCCUACGGGAGGCAGCGGUGGGGAAUAUUGCACAAGGGGCGGAAGCCUGAUGCAGCCAUGCCGCGUGAGUGAAGAGGGCCUUCGGGUUGUAAAGCACUUUCAGCGGGGAGGCGUUACCCGCAGAAGAAGCACCGGCUAACUCCGUGCCAGCAGCCGCGGUAAUUC
rnacentral:rRNA from 1 species